rnacentral:rRNA from 1 species
CCGAGGUAAUGAUUAAUAGGGAUAGUUGGGGGUAUUCAUAUUUAAUUGUCAGAGGUGAAAUUCUUGGAUUUAUGAAAGAUGAACAACUGCGAAAGCAUUUACCAAGGAUGUUUUCAUUAAUCAAGAACGAAAGUCAGGGGAUCGAAGAGGAUUAGAUACCCUCGUAGUCUUGACCAUAAACUAUGCCGACUCAGGAUUG